UCAAGCCAGUGAUGAAACAUGUUAUCCCUGUCAGAACUACAGUGUUGAUUCAUGGUAACCUGAGGCUUGA